AACGAACGCUGGCGGCAUGCCUAACACAUGCAAGUCGAACGAGACCUUCGGGUCUAGUGGCGCACGGGUGCGUACCGCGUGGGAACCUGCCCUUAGGUUCGGAAUAACUCCCCGAAAGGGGUGCUAAUACCGGAUAAUAUCUUCGGACCAAAGAUUUAUAGACUUUGGAUGGGCCCGCGUUGGAUUAGCUAGUUGGUAGGGUAAAAGCCUACCACGGCGACGCUCCAUAGCUGGUCUGAGAGGAUGAUCAGCCACACUGGGACUGAGACACGGCCCAGACUCCUACGGGAGGCAGCAGAGGGGAAUAUUGGACAAUGGGCGAAAGGCUGAUCCAGCAAUGCCGCGUGAGUGAUGAAGGCCGUAGGGUUGUAAAGCUCGUUUACCCGGGAUGAUAAUGACAGUACCGGGAGAAUAAGCACCGGCUUACUCCGUG
rnacentral:rRNA from 1 species